GGCUAAGUAUUAUGGGUGUGAGGGCGCUAAACUACGAAAUCUGAUUGACUGGGCUUUUCUUUGAAAACAAAUAGCUGAUUUAUGGAUAAGUAAUUUUUAAGACAAAACGUAUUUCUAUUUAAAUGACUCCUCUUUGAUUAUUUUAACAAUUGGGUCAGACAGUUUUAUAAUUAUUGAUAAUCAGUUUAAUAACAAAUAUACUUGGUAGUUAAGCCUAACUCUUAGUCUAAGAGUAAUACUAAUAAUGCUAAAUUAGAUAAUGAGUUUGAGUGUAAUACUUAAGACAUUAUGAUUAACUUAUUAAAUUCAGUCAAUUGAUAAGUUGUUUACCAUUUAGUUAAACUGUACCCAACAUGUGUUAGUUUUCGUUUGUUUGUUUGUUGCCAAGUGCAAAGCUACACAAUAGGCUAUCUGUUCUGUGCUCAUAGCAGGAAUUGAAACCUGAUUCAAGGCUGUGAUUGUAACGUUAAAUAUGUCUUAGACUUGCUGCUGAUUUAUGUACACUUUCUACUACCGUAGUCGAUACCACAGUUUUUAAUAUUUUUCAUUAUUAUCACUAAUACUACUGUAAAUUGCAAUAUACAACUUGCAAGUUAUACAAACAUAAACUGAUGAAGUUGGUAUGCCACAUUUACAGUUAAGCUGAAAGCCAGAAAAAAACCCCAAAAAUACAACAACAAGCUAACAAACAAAAAAAUGCAGAGAGAGAAGAAGUAAUAUGUGUAGACUUGUAAUUACUAUGCUAUGACUGCUAAGUGUUGGUGAUAGACUGGCAACAUGGUUGCAUUUAACUUUAAAUUGUAUUUAUUUUGUAUAUUCAUUGUAUUAUAUACUUAUACAAUGGAGUUCCAUUACAAUCAAAGUAACAGUAUAAUUAUAACUGCAUGGAUAUUUCAGAUCAAGGAUGUCUCUGUAUUUAAAGCUCAUUCUUUGCCACUCUAGAAAUGGUUUCAACUUAUUUAAGCUAAGAAGAGGCUUGGAAUUGAACAGGUGAAGUUGAAAUGCAUUCUUAAUCUCCAGCUAUAAGAAGGACAGUAACCAUACUUAGAAGCAUGUAUAGUUCACAAGAUUUUGAAAACUGGGCAGGUCUUCAAAUCUCAAUUCCUACAGCUGCCAAAUGACAGGUUAGGUAGUAGAGAUGGUGGGAAAUACACUACCUUGUGAUUUGUCUUUGUCAGAUAUUUUCAUUAUGAAUGAUGUUGGCAGUUCUUGCUGGACAGCAGGUAUCGUACUAUACAUACUAAGCCAUAUGUUUAUAUUGAUUAUGAAUGGAAUUCUACAACAUAUAUGGUUCACACUGGGACUCCAAAAGUUAUCCCCAGACAGAGAAAAGGGAGACUUCUUCGGGAUGAAAAAGGAAGACCUAUGUGUUCCAUUUGUGGAAGAUCUUUUUACGACAGAAGCAACCUUUAUCGUCAUAAGAAAACACAUAAUUGAAAUGUCUAGACUUUUCACUUCCAUAAUAAAUUAAUUUAGUACAAAUAACUGUUGUAUGUUUUUGAUUCAUUGUACUUAGAUUACCCUACAUGAUAGAAUAAGAUAUUUUACAUGCUGAUCUCGGGUACAUUGUUGAGUAUAUUUGUACAUUUAGUAUAUAAGCAUUUAUUUUUUUCUGCAGAAGUAAUUUAAUCAAUAAGAUUUACAUAAUCUGAGAAGAAUAAAAAAAAUAUAUAUAUAUAUAUGAUCAAUGUUAGUUCAUGUACAUACAUAUUUUUAACAAAACACAAAUUACCACAUUGUUUAGUGUGAUAAAGUCGAAUGUUCACAGCAAACAUUUUGAUUUUCAGAA